GCCUGGCUGGCUCAGUCGAUGGAGCAUGGGACUCUUGAUCUCAGGGUCAUGGGUUCAAGCCCCACACUGGGUG
rnacentral:tRNA from 1 species